rnacentral:rRNA from 1 species
CGGCGGACGGGUGAGUAACACGUGGGUAACCUACCUAUAAGACUGGGACAACUUCGGGAAACCGGAGCUAAUACCGGAUAAGAUAUCGAACCGCAUGGUUCGAUAGUGAAAGAUGGUUUUGCUAUCACUUAUAGAUGGACCCGCGCCGUAUUAGCUAGUUGGUGAGGUAACGGCUCACCAAGGCAACGAUACGUAGCCGACCUGAGAGGGUGAUGGCCACACUGGAACUGAGACACGGUCCAGACUCCUACGGGAGGCAGCAGC